rnacentral:rRNA from 1 species
CCUACGGGAGGCAGCAGUGGGGAAUAUUGCACAAUGGGGGAAACCCUGAUGCAGCGACGCCGCGUGAGUGAAGAAGUUAUUCGGUAUGUAAAGCCCUAUUAGCAGGGAAGAAAAUGACGGUACCUGAGUAAGAAGCACCGGCUAACUCCGUGCCAGCAGCCGCGGUAAUACGUAGGGGGCAAGCGUUAUCCGGAUUUACUGGGUGUAAAGGGAGCGUAGACGGCAGUGCAAGUCAGGAGUGAAAGGCGGGGGCUUAACCCCCGAACUGCUGUGGAAACUGUCCGGCUGGAGUGCAGGAGAGGUAAGUGGAAUUCCUGGUGUAGCGGUGAAAUGCGUAGAGAUUAGGAGGAACACCAGUGGCGAAGGCGGCUUACUGGACUGUAACUGACGUUGAGGCGCGAAAGCGUGGGGAGCAAACAGGAUUAGAUACCCUAGUAGUC